UCCGGUGUCGUCUAGGGGUUUAGGAUGCGGCGUUUUCACCGCCGAGACCUGGGUUCGAACCCCAGCAUCGGAG